AUCAAAAGUAAAACGUAAAGCAAAAAAAAAUGGUUGUCUCGAGAGAAAAAGUCGAUUCGACAACAUAGAUCAGAUUCAGAGAUGAUGGAUCAGACAAUCUCUAUUUUCCAAUUCUGAAAACCCAGAGUAAGAUCCAUCAUUUAUCGAGAUUAAUCGAGUUAGCGAUGUCUUCUUCGAUUGGGUAGUGAGCGUUUUAGUAGAGUUUGAAAAUCUACAAACGAAUAUGGGUCUUCUAUAUAUGUAGGAACUCGAAUGACGACCCACUCAUAACAUUGAAAGGCUUGCAGAAAAUUUACAUCCUGGUGUUCUUCUUCGCCAUCUCACAUAGCCAAUUAAAUUUUAAUCACCAUGAUGCUUAGCAGACUCAGGAUUCGUGGAUCUAAAAAGUGGGAGACAGAAACAUUAUGUCAUGACUAUGUGUUUUCUAUUUGUACUUUGUUUCAUAAGAUUCUCUUUUUAAAGUUUUGUUCUAAUUUUACAGACUGACAUUUGUUUUGUGUGUUGUAGAUCAUUCAAGACUUAGACUCAAUCAUGAGACUUCUUUUGUGAGAGAACAUAUAAGUUUCUGGACAACCAUUACUAAACACUUUUACGUCGUGAUGCUACAAUUUCUCUCAAUCUUCAUCUCUUAUAAAAAUGCAUCAAAACUUUCCUCAUUUAAUUAUUCUGAGCUCUUUUGGUUACAGGGAUGCUUAUUAAGACAGUUAUUUGUGUAUUAAACUGUGUGUCAUGGAUUCAUCUCUGCUCAUUUUGCCCCUGGAUUAAAGAAGAUCUUCCAGAGUUAUAUCAAACGAUCUCUCGAGGACGAUUUCAAGUUGGUAGUUGGAAUAAGCUUUUGAGUGGAGCUUGAAGAUAUGUAAUCGAAUUGAGUCGGAUUUCAAAGUCAGGAAAACAAAUAAAGAACACUAAAUCAAAGAUAAGUAACCAAACCCUCUAAUUGAUUUAUAGAUGGCUCUACCACAAUCUUUUAAAACUCUAAUGUUUAAUUUUACAUGGUCAGGGAAAAAUCAUUAUCAGUAUCUCGAUAAUUGGGGAACUAAUGUGUUGAAGGUUGACUUAUAAGAAAACGGGUAAUUCCUGUUAUAUGUUCACAUAAGUUAAACUUUGAAAAUAGAAGUGGAAGAGUAAGAUUGCAAUCUACUAUAUAUACUGGUUCGGGUGUAUAACUGAAGAAAAUAAGUGUACCUAAGGACUGCUAUGACCACACUGCGUGUUGAAGGUAAUUUAAUUAAGGAGAAGGAAGGUCAAAAUCUCUGCGCUGUAGAUUGGUGAUGUUCGUGAGUACACCUCUUGAAGAUUUCUGAGUCAAUCCGGAGCUGGUAUUUUCAAUUGAAGGCAUGCCCGAGAAAGAACUUGAACCUGUUUGUGUGUUGUAAUUCACCCAGAGCAUGUGGUGUUUGCUUGGCAUGAAUGGACUGUUGUAGAGAUGUUGGUGUCCUAAAAUGACCAGAAGAAGGAUUACCAAGGCUGUUUCCCCAUAUAGUGAGAUUAAGAAUACGGCUGAAACAUGGGGUCAAUAAAUCUUCAACGAAGGAUUUUAUCUUCACAAAUCUGAGAACACCGAUGACGAUGCUCCCAUCAGAGUCUUGCAAAGAACUAAAAACGUGCUCGGCCAAGGAACCCCACAAGGUUGAUUGAUUAAGGAGAAACGUAAUUGAUGGGAGAAAAUAUAUGGCAAUCAAGAAGUUUGAACACAAAUCUCGCUUAAGAUCAUCGGGUAAGGCAAGAAAAAUCUUUCUGUUUUGUAUCGUUGUGGAAGGUAAUUUCGAAAUAAGGUGGGCUUGGACUUUUUAGUUUUUAUUUGUAAUCGUAAACCCAAUUCUUCUUACUUGUAAUCGGAUAACCCAAAGAUUUUUAAUUAAAAGGCAGUGGCAGAGUUGUAAAUAAAUGUGAACUCCAGGAUUUUUUUUAUAAAUGUUUCUGAAAAUGUAUAUAUA